GAGCUUACCAUGCAGUCUCUUGAUCCUUCGGGUGAAGGUGGCGGACGGGUGAGUAACGCGUAAAGAACUUGCCUUACAGACUGGGACAACAUUUGGAAACGAAUGCUAAUACCGGAUAUUAUGACUGAGUCGCAUGAUUUGGUUAUGAAAGCUAUAUGCGCUGUGAGAGAGCUUUGCGUCCCAUUAGUUAGUUGGUGAGGUAACGGCUCACCAAGACGAUGAUGGGUAGCCGGCCUGAGAGGGUGAACGGCCACAAGGGGACUGAGACACGGCCCUUACUCCUACGGGAGGCAGCAGUGGGGAAUAUUGGACAAUGGACCAAAAGUCUGAUCCAGCAAUUCUGUGUGCACGAUGAAGUUUUUCGGAAUGUAAAGUGCUUUCAGUUGGGAAGAAGUCAGUGACGGUACCAACAGAAGAAGCGACGGCUAAAUACGUGCCAGCAGCCGCGGUAAUACGUAUGUCGCAAGCGUUAUCCGGAAUUAUUGGGCGUAAAGCGCGUCUAGGCGGUUUAGUAAGUCUGAUGUGAAAAUGCGGGGGCUCAACCCCGUAUUGCGUUGGAAACUGUUAAACUAGAGUACUGGAGAGGUAGGCGGAACUACAAGUGUAGAGGUGAAAUUCGUAGAUAUUUGUAGGAAUGCCGAUGGGGAAGCCAGCCUACUGGACAGAUACUGACGCUAAAGCGCGAAAGCGUGGGUAGCAAACAGGAUUAGAUACCCUGGUAGUCCACGCCGUAAACGAUGAUUACUAGGUGUUGGGGGUCGAACCUCAGCGCCCAAGCUAACGCGAUAAGUAAUCCGCCUGGGGAGUACGUACGCAAGUAUGAAACUCAAAGGAAUUGACGGGGAACCCGCACAAGCGGUGGAGCAUGUGGGUUAAUUCGACGCAACGCGAGGAACCUUACCAGCGUUUGACAUCCCAAGAAGUUAACAGAGAUGUUUUCGUGCCUCUUCGGAGGAACUUGGUGACAGGUGGUGCAUGGCUGUCGUCAGCUCGUGUCGUGAGAUGUUGGGUUAAGUCCCGCAACGAGCGCAACCCCUUUCGUAUGUUACCAUCAUUAAGUUGGGGACUCAUGCGAGACUGCCUGCGAUGAGCAGGAGGAAGGUGGGGAUGACGUCAAGUCAUCAUGCCCCUUAUACGCUGGGCUACACACGUGCUACAAUGGGUAGUACAGAGAGCUGCAAACCUGCGAGGGUAAGCUAAUCUCAUAAAACUAUUCUUAGUUCGGAUUGUACUCUGCAACUCGAGUACAUGAAGUUGGAAUCGCUAGUAAUCGCAAAUCAGCUAUGUUGCGGUGAAUACGUUCUCGGGUCUUGUACACACCGCCCGUCACACCACGAGAGUUGGUUGCACCUGAAGUAACAGGCCUAACCGUAAGGAGGGAUGUUCCGAGGUGU
rnacentral:rRNA from 1 species